CCUACGGGAGGCUGCAGUGGGGAAUAUUGGACAAUGGGGGAAACCCUGAUCCAGCAAUGCCGCGUGAGUGAAGAAGGCCUUAGGGUUGUAAAGCUCUUUCAGUAGGGAUACGGUACCUACAGAAGAAGCCCCGGCUAACUCCGUGCCAGCAGCCGCGGUAAGACGGAGGGGGCUAGCGUUGUUCGGAAUUACUGGGCGUAAAGGGCGCGUAGGCGGCAAAUCAAGUUAGGCGUGAAAUCCCUGGGCUUAACCCAGGAACUGCGUUUAAUACUGGUUAGCUAGAGAUUGGUAGAGGAAAGUGGAAUUCCUAGUGUAGAGGUGAAAUUCGUAGAUAUUAGGAAGAACACCAGAGGCGAAGGCGGCUUUCUGGGCCAUCUGACGCUGAGGCGCGAAAGCGUGGGGAGCAAACAGGAUUAGAUACCCUUGUAGUC
rnacentral:rRNA from 1 species